AUUGAACGCUGGCGGCAGGCUUAACACAUGCAAGUCGAGCGGAGAUGAGGUGCUUGCACCUUAUCUUAGCGGCGGACGGGUGAGUAAUGCUUAGGAAUCUGCCUAUUAGUGGGGGACAACAUUCCGAAAGGAAUGCUAAUACCGCAUACGUCCUACGGGAGAAAGCAGGGGAUCUUCGGACCUUGCGCUAAUAGAUGAGCCUAAGUCGGAUUAGCUAGUUGGUGGGGUAAAGGCCUACCAAGGCGACGAUCUGUAGCGGGUCUGAGAGGAUGCUCCGCCACACGGGGACUGAGACACGGCCCAGACUCCUACGGGAGGCGGCGGUGGGGAAUAUUGAACAAUGGGGGAAACCCUGACCCAGCCAUGCCGCGUGUGGGAAGAAGGCCUUAUGGUUGUAAAGCACUUUAAGCGAGGAGGAGUCUACUGGAAAUAAUACUCUUGGAUAGGGGACGUUACUCGAAGAAUAAGCACCGGCUAACUCUGUGCCAGCCCCCGCCGUAA
rnacentral:rRNA from 1 species